AUGGAGGAACGUGCAUUCCUUUCUUCUUCAAGCUCAGUUUCGCCGCUUCAGUUACUAUCGAUAAUAUCUGUUGCAGACGAUCGGCUUCUCCGACGAAGAUGUACGGCAGCGAUUGAAGGAUUGCUUUGUAGUUUCCGGUUUUGUUCUUCUCGACGAUUUUCGAUGUGUCUGCUAACAGAUUUCUCUGAAUCACACUCGCGCAAGGGAUCAAACUCUGUGAAUUCGAACAGGUUUUGUUAGAAUUAUAUGAAAUGUCACAUGAGAGAUACAAUAUGAUAAAACAUAUUAUGUCACAUAACAUAUGGUACAAACUUUUAUAACAUAUGAUAUAAUCCUUUAAAACUUAUUGUUGACUGUUAAGUAGCGUUUAGCAGUUUACCUUGAGUGUUUCAACAGAAUCACCAAAAUAUCCAGCAGCAGAAAGAUCGAAUUCAUCAUCAGAAACGUCGUUAAUGUUUCCGUUGAAACAAUUGCAACGAUUGCGGCCACAUUUCGGUUUCUCAGGAGCAGCAGCAUCUUCAAUAAAAUUUUGAACCAUUUUAGCCAAGCAAACAGAACUCGGCUCGAAUUCUCCAUCUUUGACUUCGUUGACUUUCUCCGAAUUGUUCUUUAAAACGCUAGGAAAUUGCCGAUCGAAUAGCCUCUUUAGCCGAGACUUCAACACUGGCUUCACUGCCACCGGAGAAUCAGAGUUCACCGAUUCAUCAUAACUUCGGUUGUCAAUUGGUUGAAUCUUCAUCUGGAAAUGCAUAGAGUAUACAAUCUGCCUUAAUAAUAAUACUUCCUAAUG